AUGAACGCUAGCUACAGGCUUAACACAUGCAAGUUGAGGGGCAGCAUGGUCUUAGCUUGCUAAGGCCGAUGGCGACCGGCGCACGGGUGAGUAACACGUAUCCAACCUGCCGUCUACUCUUGGACAGCCUUCUGAAAGGAAGAUUAAUACAAGAUGGCAUCAUGAGUCCGCAUGUUCACAUGAUUAAAGGUAUUCCGGUAGACGAUGGGGAUGCGUUCCAUUAGAUAGUAGGCGGGGUAACGGCCCACCUAGUCUUCGAUGGAUAGGGGUUCUGAGAGGAAGGUCCCCCACAUUGGAACUGAGACACGGUCCAAACUCCUACGGGAGGCAGCAGUGAGGAAUAUUGGUCAAUGGGCGAGAGCCUGAACCAGCCAAGUAGCGUGAAGGAUGAAGGUCCUACGGAUUGUAAACUUCUUUUAUACGGGAAUAAAGUAUCCUACGUGUAGGAUUUUGUAUGUACCGUAUGAAUAAGCAUCGGCUAACUCCGUG
rnacentral:rRNA from 1 species